rnacentral:lncRNA from 13 species
AAUUCUAAACUUCUCUUUCACUAUUUUCUUAGCCUUCUUAAUCUAACCUGUCAAUCAAAUCCUGCUGAAUCAUUAUUUUGUGUUUAAUAGCUGCCCAGAGAUUUGUUUCUGAAUGGCUUUUUUUUUCUUUUUUUUUUCCCAGUUUAAAGCAGAGCUAGCCUAACCCAGAGAAAUGUGAUCUGAGUUUGGAAUUUUGGGAGUGCAGAAGUUGACUACUUAUGUAACAGCACAGCAAAGCCAGUGCAGGUUUCCUUAUCCAGAAUUCCCUCUGCUUUCUCCUUUCCAGUUUACUUCAACACUCAGCUUGAACCAAAGUCACAGAGGGUGCAUUCUAAGAGCUGUCCAGAGAAUUUGGGCAGAUAACUGUGCUUCCAUACCCAUUUGGAUCGUUCAUCUAAUAACAGUCUGUGGUAUGAACAGUUUCUAGAAGGUCAACAAACUCUAUUGAAUACACUGGAGUGACGGAGUGAGUUUCCCAGAAAGCCACUGGGCAGACACAUUGGACUGGGAAGACAGAAAGAACAGCAAAAGACAGCAGUGGAAAAAUCAGAGAAGGUAAGAGAAAUGGAAGAAAACUAAGUGAAAUUUAUGAAGCCUUAUGAGCAAAAGCUUUGACUUUAAGCGCUCCUCAGCUUCAGGGUUUUUGACUUUCAGCUGAAACUUGUGGUUUGAUUUCUUUUCUGAAUCAUUUAAGCUCUCUUCUUGGGUCACUUAGCAUUCAAUAGACGUUUGUAUGUAUGCACAUAUUUUAGGCUUUUAUAGAGAGAUCUCUGUAUGUGUACACGUAUAUACACUUGCAUGCAUAUACAUGUGUGUUUAGAUACACAUACAUAAGCCUUCAUACACGAGUGUGGGUGUAUCUGUAUGUAUACACAUAAAAAUUGC